GCUUGAGGGGCUCCCACAGCCUAGGAAGCUGAUUUGGGGUGCUCUUUGGUCCUGGCCACAGUCCGAAAGGACAAAAGGUGUGACUGUGGGUGGAUGAUUGUAUUACAACGAUCUCUGGUCCUGAAAGGGAAGACAUCUUUGGCACAUCAAUUUGUGGAAGGGGAGUUCCUGAAAGGCUACGAUCCUACAGUGGAGAAUAGAUAAGUACAGCAUUCUGCCCUAUUCCUUCAUCAUUGGGGUCCAUGGUUACGUGCUUGUGUACAACGUUACCUCCCUGCGCAGCUUCCAAAUCGUUAAGAACCUGUACCAAAAGCUACAGGAAGGCCAUGGUAAAACUCGACUGCCAGUGCUGCUUGUGGGGAACAAGGCAGAUCUCUCUGCAGACAGAGAGGUGCAGGCAGUUGAAGGGAAGAAGCUAGCAGAGUCCUGGGGUGCAACAUUUAUGGAGUCAUCUGCACGGGAUAAUCAGGUGCUCUAAUUCAGGACAUCUUCAUCAGAGUCAUCCAGGAGAUUGCCCGUGUGGAGAAUUCUUAUGGACAAGACCGCCGAUGCUGUCUUAUGUGAACUCUUGGCAUGGAAUAACUGCCCUGUUUCGGCCACAGGCAUUGACCAACCUGCAGCAGUGGGGUCGACCCUCAGGACUUAAGUACUAGGGUUGCCAACUAUGUCCUUACUCCUCUGGGCACACAGUAGGGGACCCUUAUUUUUGCACACUCAUCCCAGGUUCUGGUAACCUGGAUGUUAAUGUUUACAAAGGGGCAAAACGUCUCAGGGACACUGGCUUCUAACUCCUUGUUUUCCUAAACGAAUUUUUAUAGUCUGUACAGUUGGGAUGAGUCUUGGGCAUUGAUUACCGAGGAUCUGCCCUCCUGGGUAUAUUUUGGGUGUUGGUUGGGUAAGGGUGUUGGUCACUUGGCAGUUCAGAAGUAGAACUGUCCGGGCUGGGGAUUUAGCUCAGUGGUAGAGCGCUUACCUAGGAAGCGCAAGGUCCUGGGUUCGGUACCCAGCUCCGAAAAAAAGAACCAAAAAAAAAAAAAAAAAGAAGUAGAACUGUCUACUGGGGUAACUGUAUAUUUCCAAAUAAACUGAGAAAUCUUU
rnacentral:lncRNA from 1 species